CACGGUCAUGCCCAUAAGAUCAGGCUGUUCAUGAUUUGUUGGAACGGGACCUCAGUCUGCUCGCAACACAGUCAGGGCUUCGUUCGAUCCACUUCCUCUUCUUUGGACCCGUCGGCUUAGAUGGAGUGGCACACCCAAUGUCCAGAUUUACUUGACAAUCCUGAGAGUCAGAAGUCACGACAGAUUCGCUCCUGCUAUCAUCAUUGUCGCUGUCAUCAGGGGGAUUAUUCACUUGGUGGUCAGCUUCUACCUUCUGGAUAGCUUUGCCGCUCAUUUCUGCAUCCUCUUGAUCCUCCUUAGCAACUGGAGCCUGGUCAGAUUCGGAUGAGGCUUCUGACUUGGUAGCUGCCACCUUGUUUGAAUCAGCUGAGCCUGCUGGGGAUGCACGCUGUGUUGCGAUGAGAUAGUGAGCCACAGACUUAUCAUAUCAGUACCUUCCUAUACGCAGCACCAGUUGGAAACCAUCCUUUCUUAGUUCUGCAGAUACUGCAAUUGCAAAUGCCACGACAAACUGGACAUAUCCAAUCAGGAUUCUUC
rnacentral:sRNA from 1 species